rnacentral:rRNA from 2 species
AGUCGAACGCGUUGGCCCAAUUGAUUGACGGUGCUUGCACCUGAUUGAUUUUGGUCGCCAACGAGUGGCGGACGGGUGAGUAACACGUAGGUAACCUGCCCAGAAGCGGGGGACAACAUUUGGAAACAGAUGCUAAUACCGCAUAACAGCGUUGUUCGCAUGAACAACGCUUAAAAGAUGGCUUCUCGCUAUCACUUCUGGAUGGACCUGCGGUGCAUUAGCUUGUUGGUGGGGUAACGGCCUACCAAGGCGAUGAUGCAUAGCCGAGUUGAGAGACUGAUCGGCCACAAUGGGACUGAGACACGGCCCAUACUCCUACGGGAGGCAGCAGUAGGGAAUCUUCCACAAUGGGCGCAAGCCUGAUGGAGCAACACCGCGUGAGUGAAGAAGGGUUUCGGCUCGUAAAGCUCUGUUGUUAAAGAAGAACACGUAUGAGAGUAACUGUUCAUACGUUGACGGUAUUUAACCAGAAAGUCACGGCUAACUACGUGCCAGCAGCCGCGGUAAUACGUAGGUGGCAAGCGUUAUCCGGAUUUAUUGGGCGUAAAGAGAGUGCAGGCGGUUUUCUAAGUCUGAUGUGAAAGCCUUCGGCUUAACCGGAGAAGUGCAUCGGAAACUGGAUAACUUGAGUGCAGAAGAGGGUAGUGGAACUCCAUGUGUAGCGGUGGAAUGCGUAG